GAGUUUGAUCAUGGCUCAGGAUGAACGCUAGCGGCAGGCUUAACACAUGCAAGUCGAGGGGUAACAGGGAUUGCUUGCAAUCCGCUGACGACCGGCGCACGGGUGCGUAACGCGUAUGCAACCUACCUUUUACAAGGGGAUAGCCCAGAGAAAUUUGGAAUAAUACCCUAUACGAUCAUUAAUUGGCAUCAAUUAAUGAAGAAAACUCCGGUGGUAAAAGAUGGGCAUGCGUCCUAUUAGUUAGUUGGUAAGGUAACGGCUUACCAAGACUCCGAUAGGUAGGGGCCCUGAGAGGGGGAUCCCCCACACUGGUACUGAGACACGGACCAGACUCCUACGGGAGGCAGCAGUGAGGAAUAUUGGACAAUGGAGGCAACUCUGAUCCAGCCAUGCCGCGUGCAGGAAGACGGCCCUACGGGUUGUAAACUGCUUUUAUACAGGAAGAACUAUAUCUACGUGUAGAUAUUUGACGGUACUGUACGAAUAAGGAUCGGCUAACUCCGUGCCAGCAGCCGCGGUAAUACGGAGGAUCCAAGCGUUAUCCGGAAUCAUUGGGUUUAAAGGGUCCGUAGGCGGUCUAAUAAGUCAGAGGUGAAAUCCUACAGCUCAACUGUAGCAUUGCCUUUGAUACUGUUAGACUUGAGUUAUUGUGAAGUAGUUAGAAUGUGUAGUGUAGCGGUGAAAUGCAUAGAUAUUACACAGAAUACCGAUUGCGAAGGCAGCUUACUGGACCACAACUGACACUGAGGCACGAAAGCGUGGGUAGCGAACAGGAUUAGAUACCCUGGUAGUCCACGCCGUAAACGAUGCUCACUCGAUGUUAGCGAUAUACUGUUAGCGUCCAAGCUAAAGCGUUAAGUGA
rnacentral:rRNA from 1 species